rnacentral:rRNA from 1 species
CUACGGGAUGCUGCAGUGGGGAAUAUUGCACAAUGGGCGCAAGCCUGAUGCAGCAACGCCGCGUGAACGAAGAAGGUUUUCGGAUCGUAAAGUUCUUUUCUUAGGGAAGAAACCAUGACGGUACCUAAGGAAUAAGCACCGGCUAACUACGUGCCAGCAGCCGCGGUAAUACGUAGGGUGCAAGCGUUAUCCGGAAUCACUGGGCGUAAAGGGUGCGUAGGCGGUCUGACAAGUCAGGAGUGAAAGGCAGUGGCUCAACCAUUGUAAGCUUUUGAAACUGUCGGACUUGAAUGCAGGAGGGGCAAGUGGAAUUCCUAGUGUAGCGGUGACAUGCGUAGAUAUUAGGAGGAACACCAGUGGCGAAGGCGACUUGCUGGACUGUAAUUGACGCUGAGGCACGAAAGCGUGGGGAGCAAACAGGAUUAGAUACCCCCGUAGUC